UCCCAGCCAAUGAUUUAUUCUGCCAUCCAC
rnacentral:piRNA from 1 species